rnacentral:rRNA from 1 species
UACGUAGGGGGCAAGCGUUAUCCGGAUUUACUGGGUGUAAAGGGAGCGCAGACGGAACUGCAAGUCUGAUGUGAAAGCCCGGGGCUCAACCGCGGGACUGCAUCGGAUACUGUAGAUCUGGAGUGCCGGAGGGGCAAGCGGAAUUCCUGGUGUAGCGGUGAAAUGCGUAGAUAUCAGGAGGAACACCGGCGGCGAAGGCGGCUUGCUGGACGGCAACUGACGUUGAGGCUCGAAAGCGUGUGGAGCAAACAGGAUUAGAUA